AUGAACCCUACCUCGGCCCCGGGCCCUGAUGGUCUUCCGGUUAAAUUCUUCCAAGCCUUCUGGAAUGUGAUCAAACCAGAGGUCAUGGCCAUCUUUGAUGAGUUCUAUGUUGGGUCCAUUGAUCUCGGGCGCCUCAACUAUGGGACGAUCUCGCUUAUCCCCAAGGUUCUUGGGGCAUCUGACAUCCAUCAGUUCCGCCCGAUCACGGUGAUAAAUGUGAUCUUCCGUAUUCUGGCGAAAGGGUACGCCAAUAGGGUGACCCUGCUCGCGGACCACAUUACCCACCCCAACCAAUCCGCCUUCAUCCAAGGCCGAUAUAUUCUGGAUGGGGUGCUACUCCUUCACGAAGUUUUCCAUGAGGUCCGCUCCAAACACCUCAAGGCGGUCUUCCUGAAAAUCGAUUUCCAUAAGGCCUAUGACAUUGUUAGUUGGCCCUUCCUUUGGGAAGUUCUUCUCCGGAAAGGCUUCGAUGACCGUUGGAUCACCAGGGUG
rnacentral:rRNA from 1 species